UGCUUUGAGGGGGCCGAAGGGCUUGCGCGCUGGCUUCAGUUAGCCAGGAUCGCCCCGCCGCGCGCCGGCUUGAGCUAUCCAAGAUCGCCCCGCCGUGCGCCGUUCGAGAGCCGCAGAGGGAGCCGAGCGCGGCCCCUCUGCGAAGCCCCGAGUGAGCGCGCCGGGCAGGGCGAGCGCACGCAUCUUGGGUCCCUGCGAGCCAGAAGCGCUAGAGGACGUCAUCCCUCUGGGCUCCAGCUACUCCUCCUCCGCGCCGGCGGAUCAGCCUUGCGAGGUUCCGCGCCUUUGCCAACGCGCGAAGUGUUUGUGCAGUCACUCCCCUCCCGGCCCUCGCCGGAGUUGGAGCGCCCCGCCGCGUACUUGUGCGCUGGAGGCGAGUGGGUCUGGCCAGUUUUGUGCGCGGAGGGCGAAGACUCGGAAGCCAGGCCGGAGCAGGAGGCCGAGCCGCGGGAGGCGGGCGGCGAGGAGCGGCGCGCCCAGGAGGUGCUCGCGGCCGCGCCCGGCAGCCCCGCGCCGGAGCAGGUGAGCGGCCGCCUCCCGCGCCCCCGCGCCCUCGGUCUCUGGGCGGGAGGGGAACUGUGGGCUCGUGGGCGUCGCCCCUUGUGGGCCCAGCAGGGGCGUCUACUCUAUGUCAAGGCUUCCAGUGAAUGGCCUUCCACACCCUGGCCGGCGGUGCCUUCAUCUGAUGAGAGCACGUGAACUCACUGAAAUCUGCACUACGGGUUACGGGUUUCCUCUGGAUUCGCAGGAAGCCCCCAUAGGACAGCUUUAAUUAUGCUCCAGAUUUUUAUUCAAACCCAGGGGUUGGAGCUGUUUUAUUUUUCCAGGAGUCACUCUGACCCUAAUGCUGCCAGUUGCUAUUACCCGAUGUUCACCUAGGACUGUCUCCUUCUCCUAUGUACAGGGGUAUUUUCAAUUCUGUUUCCUAGGCAUCUUUAAGUUGUCAGGUGUAGUGUGAAUAUUUCUUUUAAAAGUUUUCAUGCAAAAAAAUAAAGCAUGGUUUAUACUUGGACCUGGAGUGAAU
rnacentral:lncRNA from 1 species